GAGUUUGAUCUUGGCUCAGGAUGAACGCUAGCGGCAGGCUUAAUACAUGCAAGUCGAGGGGCAGCACGGGUAGCAAUACCUGGUGGCGACCGGCAAACGGGUGCGGAACACGUACGCAACCUUCCCAUAACUGGCGAAUAGCCUUCCGAAAGGGAGAUUAAUACACCGUAACAUAACGAGUAGGCAUCUAUUUGUUAUUAUAGCUUCGGCGGUUUUAGAUGGGCGUGCGCCUGAUUAGGUAGUUGGCGGGGUAACGGCCCACCAAGCCUUCGAUCAGUAACUGGUGUGAGAGCACGACCAGUCACACGGGCACUGAGACACGGGCCCGACUCCUACGGGAGGCAGCAGUAAGGAAUAUUGGUCAAUGGACGCAAGUCUGAACCAGCCAUGCCGCGUGAAGGAUGAAGGCCCUCUGGGUUGUAAACUUCUUUUAUCUGGGACGAAAACGGCUAUCUAGUUCACUUGACGGUACCAGAGGAAUAAGCACCGGCU
rnacentral:rRNA from 1 species